GACGAACGCUGGCGGCGUGCUUAACACAUGCAAGUCGAGCGGUAAGGCCCUUUCGGGGGUACGACGAGCGGCGAACGGGUGAGUAACACGUGGGUGGACCUGCCCUCAGCUCUGGGAUAAGCCUGGGAAACCGGGUCUAAUACUGGAUAUGACUCCAUGACGCAUGUUGUGGGGUGGAAAGCCUUGUGCGGCUGAGGAUGGGCCCGCGGCCUAUCAGCUUGUUGGUGGGGUGAUGGCCUACCAAGGCGACGACGGGUAGCCGGCCUGAGAGGGCGACCGGCCACACUGGGACUGAGACACGGCCCAGACUCCUACGGGAGGCAGCAGUGGGGAAUCUUGCGCAAUGGGCGAAAGCCUGACGCAGCGACGCCGCGUGAGGGAUGACGGCCU
rnacentral:rRNA from 1 species